rnacentral:sRNA from 1 species
GAUUAGCCCCGAUAGAAGCGGCAUCCCCCGAUUUAAAGAAACUAAGGCAAUAAGCUUUGUUUUUUUAAAUCGGGGAAUACAGCGAAUAGCGGGAGGGAAC